UACGAAGGGUGCAAGCGUUACUCGGAAUUACUGGGCGUAAAGCGUGCGUAGGUGGUUCGUUAAGUCUGUCGUGAAAGCCCCGGGCUCAACCUGGGAAUGGCGAUGGAUACUGGCGGGCUAGAGUGCGGUAGAGGAGAGUGGAAUUCCCGGUGUAGCAGUGAAAUGCGUAGAGAUCGGGAGGAACAUCAGUUGCGAGGGCGGCUCUCUGGACCAGCACUGACACUGAGGCACGAAAGCGUGGGGAGCAAACAGG
rnacentral:rRNA from 1 species